UUUAGAAGAUAGUAUAUUGGGAGUACGGAAAGUUUUGGACUUUCAGGUGCGGGUUCAACCCCCGUUUUUCUAU
rnacentral:tRNA from 1 species